rnacentral:rRNA from 1 species
GCGACCCCAAGUUAGGCGGGACUACCCGCUGAGUUUAAGCAUAUCAAUAAGCGGAGGAAAAGA